CUUGGCCCGAAUUCACAAAGGUGGUUUCUGCAGAAACCAUGGUUUCAACCGUGGGUUUUGCUGAUUUUGGUAUUCACAAAUGUGGUUUCAAAUGAAACCAUGGUUUCAACCGUGGGUUUUCGGCAUGAUUUUGAGUCAACUGUUUUAGGUGGUUUCAAACCGUGGGUUUUAGGAAAACCAUGAUUUUUAGGCACAUUGACCAAUCACAGGACAGUAUUUCGGUACAUUGAUGGGCAAGUGGAGAAAGACGACGAUAAAUAGACUUGCACGAAAAGAAAAGAAGCGAAGCGUAUAAAGUCAGUUUUUGCCGAGCUGCUCUAACAUCUAAAUUUUGGAAUGGAUGAAAACAUCUUGCAAGAUGUACAGGCUGUCGAAAGAAAAGGAGUAUUGUUAUAGAAGAGUCUAACUCAAUAGGAAUAUGCCAACCAGAACUGCAUUUAGUAUUCCGUGACAGGAGGAACCUUU